GAUUAACGCUGGCGGUAUGUCUAAUACAUGCAAGUCGAACGAGACUUCGAGUCGAGUGGCGAACGGGUGAGUAACACGUUGGCAUCUGCCCCAGACUCAGGGAUAACCAGGCUAAAGCCUGGCUAAUACCGGAUAGUCCCGCAAGGGUAAAGCUUUUGCGGUCUGGGAGGAGCCUGCGGCGUAUCAGCUUGUUGGUGGGGUAAUGGCCUACCAAGGCAAUGACGCGUAGCUGGUCUGAGAGGAUGAUCAGUCACAAUGGAACUGAGACACGGUCCAUACUCCUACGGGAGGCAGCAGUAAAGAAUCUUCCACAAUGGGGGAAACCCUGAUGGAGCAAUACCGCGUGGUCGAUGACGGUCGUAAGAUUGUAAAGGCCUUUUCUGAGGGAAGAAUUAUGACGGUACCUCAGGAAUAAGCACCGGCUAACUCCGUGCCAGCCGCCGCGGUAAU
rnacentral:rRNA from 1 species